rnacentral:rRNA from 1 species
AUACGUAGGUGGCAAGCGUUGUCCGGAUUUAUUGGGUUUAAAGGGAGCGUAGGUUGACAUAUAAGUCAGCUGUGAAAGUUUACGGCUCAACCGUGAAAUUGCAGUUGAUACUGUAUGUCUUGAGUGUACAAGAGGUGGGCGGAAUUCGUGGUGUAGCGGUGAAAUGCUUAGAUAUCACGAAGAACUCCAAUUGCGAAGGCAGCUCACUGGGGUACAACUGACACUGAGGCUCGAAAGUGUGGGUAUCAAACAGGAUUAGAUACCCUGGUAGUCCACACAGUAAACGAUGAAUACUCGCUGUUUGCGAUAUACAGUAAGCGGCCAAGCGAAAGCAUUAAGUAUUCCACCUGGGGAGUACGCCGGCAACGGUGAA